GUCAGGAAGUAACUGUUUGAAAGAAGACGACACCGAAACGGUUCUUCAACCGACCGGAAGUCCACCUGGUCAGUUAUUUCCACCUGACAAACAGUGUCAGUUAAUGCUUGACCCUGACUCAGUCAUGUUUCGACAAAGGCAUUCUACUGCAUGGGAGAGGAUAUGUACGGCCAUGGCAUGCACUCAACUUGGAUUAACAAAAGUAACGUAUGUUAUACCUGCAGAUGGUACAACUUGUGGAAAUAAAAAGUGGUGCUGGAAUGGUAAAUGUGUGGCGGCAGUGGAGGCCCCCGAAGCAGACG